CUGCAGUCGAGCGCGUGGCACACGAGCGGCAGACGGGUGAGUAACGCGUGGGAAUCUACCCUUUUCUACGGAAUAACGCAGGGAAACUUGUGCUAAUACCGUAUGAGCCCUUCGGGGGAAAGAUUUAUCGGGAAAGGAUGAGCCCGCGUUGGAUUAGCUAGUUGGUGGGGUAAAGGCCUACCAAGGCGACGAUCCAUAGCUGGUCUGAGAGGAUGAUCAGCCACAUUGGGACUGAGACACGGCCCAAACUCCUACGGGAGGCAGCAGUGGGGAAUAUUGGACAAUGGGCGCAAGCCUGAUCCAGCCAUGCCGCGUGAGUGAUGAAGGCCCUAGGGUUGUAAAGCUCUUUCACCGGUGAAGAUAAUGACGGUAACCGGAGAAGAAGCCCCGGCUAACUUCGUGCCAGCAGCCGCGGUAAUACGAAGGGGGCUAGCAGGUGUGCGGACUUAACUGGGCGUAAGGGCCCGGUAGGCGGACUUUUAAGUCAGGGGUGAAAUCCCCGGGCUCAACCCGGGAAGUGCCUUGGAUACUGGGGUCUUGAGUGCGGAAGAGGAGAGUGGAAUUCCGAGUGUAGAGGUGAAAUUCGUAGAUAUUCGGAGGAACACCAGUGGCGAAGGCGACUCUCUGGUCUGUAACUGACGCUGAGGUGCGAAAGCGUGGGGAGCGAACAGGAUUAGAUACCCUGGUAGUCCACGCCGUAAACGAUGAAUGUUAGCUGUCAGGCGGUUUCCUGUUCGGAGGCGCGCCUAUAGCACUAUACAUUCCCCCCGGGGGGAACAGUGUCGCGAGACUGACUCUCAGGAGAAUUGAGGGGGGCCCACACAAGCUGUAGAGCGUGUGUUUUAUUUCAAAGCACCGCGCAAAAACUUAUAAGCCCUUGUGAUCUCGGUUGAGGAUACUAGAGAUAGUAUCCUUCCUUUCGGGUGAAACUGACACGUGUGGUGUGUGGGCUCUCCUCCUCUCGUGUCGAGAUAUGUUGUUUUAUCUCCCGAAACGAGCGCACCUUGCGCCUUUAUGUGCCCAUCAUUCUUGUUGGGCACUACUAAGGGGACUCCCGGUGAUAACCCGAGAGGAAGGUGGGGAUGACGUCAAGUCCUCAUGCCCUUUGCGGUGUGGUAUACACACGUUAUACAAUGGUGGUGACAGUGGGAGGCGAGCCCGCGAGGUCGACAUAAUCUCCAAAAGCCAUCUCAGUUCGGUUUCCACUCUCCAACUCGAGUGCAUGAAGUGGGAAUCGAUAGUAAUCCCAGAUCAGCAGGCUCCGGUGAAUACGUUACACGGGCCUUGUGCACACCGCCGGGCACGCCAUGGGAGUUGGUUAUAACCGAAGGUGGUGCGGUAGGCCUCAAGGGAGGCAUCUAAAUUAUAGAUAGGACAUGAUCAGCUG
rnacentral:rRNA from 1 species